AUGGGGAUACCAGGCCAGCUGGGGAUUCUUCCCAGGCUGGGCUCACAGGCUAGGGCUGGGCACACGGAGCAGCUGCGGGAAAGGGAUCUGGACACCAGCCCCCCAGCGUGUCACCUGCAGGAAGCUGAGGUGGGAACAGAGUGACGUCCAGGCAUGUUCAGGACUAAGCCAGUGGAUCACAAACAUCCUGGAGAGCAGUGACUCUGUGAUUCCAUCAACAAGAAUAUGAAGGACUGAGAAGUUCCCCAGCUCUGCCCAUUGCACCUUCCCAUUGAGAAGCAGCAUGGCACCCUGGUGGCAGGGGCUGGCACUCAGCUGGGCCAGGGUGCUCUCCUGUUAACCAUAACCAAGCUCACAGGACAUGGGAUGAGCCCACUGUGUGACACAAGGAACGGAGCACAGUCUGUUAAGUCUUGCACAGCCACGCUCUGCCACGGAGGCAGGCCUUUCUUUGGCCUCCCUCUCCCUGCUCGUGCUCACGUGAACAUCCACCUACGUGGAUAGACUGUUUGGGCUUUGGUUCAUUAUUGCUUUGUGAAUUCCUUGAACUUCUGCAUCUGCCCAACCUCCCCCACCCCAUUGUUUUCAUUGUGUUUCACCAAAUGGAAAUUCUAGAGUAACCAUGUAAGUCCUCUCCCAAACUCGUUCACUGUUGAGAGUGCUAAAAUGCUAACCCCAGAGGCUAACUGAGGGUUAGGGUUACUUUAUCUUUAGAGCAUUGUGAAUUGUAUGUUAAGUGGAAUUUAAUGAAAAAAUAGUUAAUUGACCAACAUGAAUAUCCCCUGAACAGAAUCUCCCCUGAACAGAAUCCUACAAUGAAACUAAGGGAGAUAAAUAAAGCUGUUUACCUGAAAGCUCUCUCUAAUCAAGAUCCUUUGAAAUUUAUAAAACAUGGUCAAUAUUUGCACUGGACUUUGUAAAAAUAAAGCUUGAUGAGAGAA
rnacentral:lncRNA from 1 species